UCUCGAUUCGUCUAGUGGUUAGGAUACCUGCUUGUCAUUAAUGGCCGACUGUAGUCCCCAUCUAACGACCAAAUUCGCAGGUGGCCGGGGUUCAAUUCCCCGAUCGAGAG